UUGCUGUCUAGCAUGCGAGUCAUUGUAGCAUACAAGGCAUACGGCUCAGUAACGCGUAGUCAACCUAACCUAUGGACGGGAAUAACCUCGGGAAACUGAGAAUAAUGCCCGAUAGAACACUAUACCUGGAAUGGUUUGUGUUCCAAAUGAUUUAUCGCCAUAGGAUGGGACUGCGGCCUAUCAGUUUGUUGGUGAGGUAAUGGCCCACCAAGACUAUUACAGGUACGGGCUCUGAGAGGAGUAGCCCGGAGAUGGGUACUGAGACACGGACCCAGGCCCUAUGGGGCGCAGCAGGCGAGAAAACUUUGCAAUGUGCGAAAGCACGACAAGGUUAAUCCGAGUGAUUUGUGCUAAACGAAUCUUUUGUUAGUCCUAGAAACACUAACGAAUAAGGGGUGGGCAAGUUCUGGUGUCAGCCGCCGCGGUAAAACCAGCACCUCAAGUGGUCAGGAUGAUUAUUGGGCCUAAAGCAUCCGUAGCCGGCUCUGUAAGUUUUCGGUUAAAUCUGUACGCUUAACGUACAGGCUGCCGGGAAUACUGCAGAGCUAGGGAGUGGGAGAGGUAGACGGUACUCGGUAGGAAGUGGUAAAAUGCUUUGAUCUAUCGAUGACCACCUGUGGCGAAAGCGGUCUACCAGAACACGUCCGACGGUGAGGGAUGAAAGCUGGGGGAGCAAACCGGGAUUAGAUACCCGGGUAGUCCCAGCUGUAAAACUUAUGCAACUCAGUUGAAUGCCAAUUGCCUUGUGACCAAAUGCAGCUGCCUUGCCCAUUGA
rnacentral:rRNA from 1 species